rnacentral:rRNA from 1 species
GUAGGGAGCAAGCGUUGUCCGGAUUUAUUGGGCGUAAAGAGCUCGUAGGCGGUUUCGUAAGUCGGAUGUGAAAACUCAGGGCUCAACCCUGAGACGCCAUCUGAUACUGCGAUGACUGGAGUCCGGUAGGGGAGCAUGGAAUUCCUGGUGUAGCGGUGGAAUGCGCAGAUAUCAGGAGGAACACCAAUGGCGAAGGCAGUGCUCUGGGCCGGUACUGACGCUGAGGAGCGAAAGCAUGGGGAGCAAACAGGAUUAGAUACCCUGGUAGUCCCAUGCCCGUAAACGUUGGGCACUAGGUGUGGGGUCUUCUAACGGAUUCCGUGCCGUAGCUAACGCAUUAAGUGCCCCCGCCUGGGAGUACGGCCGCAAGGCUA